GCCACGUAGGUUAAUCUUUUAAAAUAGCCCAAUCAUGUCUUGCAUGUGUCCAACAGGAGGUGUUGUGGCGUCACAUAGUGUCUCGAGUUACUAACUCUAUUUGAUCUUAUUUUUCUCAUUCAGGUGUGGAUCCAUGUACCAGAGCUCGAGCAUGACAGAUAUCCCAGGACCAUCGCAUUUGGGAGCUUGUUUGAAGAUACUUUAUAUUUUGAGUUUCUUUUCAUGUUUUCUUUUACUUUGUUGUCUUGUAUAGUAGUUUUGAGUCUUUUAGGUGGUGUAAGAGUUUGCCGAGUCUUUUGUCAUCGUACUUCCCAUUCAUAUUUGAAAAAAAUAGUUAUAAAUGAAAAUCCAAAAAGAUUUUUAUAUUUAGUUUAUUUUGUCCAUUACGUUGCCAGAACUAUACUUGGUUUGAUUCAUGUGGAACAUGAUACGUAGGCAACCUACAUAGGGUUCGAUCAAUUUAUUUAUAAAUUUUUUUAAAAAAGGAGAUGAAGUUGUGGGAUGUGAAAAAUGAGAGGAAACUGCGGGAUGCAAGAAAAGAGCGAUAAUCAGAAAAAGAGAGAGGAAAGAAAUGAGCAAAUCAAGGAGCGCAAGAGAGGAAAAGAAGAAGAAAAAGGCAAUGAACAAAAUUGGGAUGAUGCCAAAUGACCUUGUGACCCUAGAACCGUUAAUUGUUGCCAGGUGCAUUGCACGCAAUGUGAUAUUUCUAUCUGAUAAAUGCCCUAACGCUAAUAUGUUGACUUUGUUUUGCUCUUUUUUGGUACUUUAAUUGUUAUCAUAAUAGAAGGUGGUUAGUUUGUGGCAUUCUAGCGAGUCAUCCGUACAACACAAUAUCAAAAAGCAAGGUAGCCAUGGCUAGCAAAGACUUGGACACAGGUGUUGUCGUUUCGCCUAAGGAGAUUGUUGAAUUAGAAUCUGAGUUGAAAGAAGAGGUCCUAAGGUUGAAAGAACAGAUGGCCGAAAUGUACCAAGCCUGGAUUAGCGGGCGCCCUCCACCAUUACUUCCCACUAACUACACCGAAAGCCUCGUCACCCCACAACCUUUUCACACUCCACCCCCCAAAAGCACCUCAUAUUCUUCUCCUUUGACCCCUCAUGUUUUUAGCUCCUCCACCAGCUACUCUUUCUCGAUCCUAUGGUGAGACUGUGUUCAAAGUCCCCGAUUCCCAGCACUAUGCUCCAGAACCAACUUUCAAGGUCUCGGAUCCAUACUCUUACGCUCCUCAUUUUGAGCCUCCCGGUGAAACAGAAAAGCUUGCUAAGAUAGUAGAGCAAGAUAAGAUAUCCAGGAAGGUGAAAAUCUUAGAGCAGUCUUUAUGAAACAUGCAAGGGAUAAGGAGCCAGGUGAGCGUGUCUUACAAAGACUUGUGCUUGUUUCUUGACGUCCAACUGCCUGCUGGAUUUAAGAUGUUAAAGUUUGAUUUGUAUGACGGCCAUGGGGAUACCGUAGCCCACUUGAGAGGUUAUUGAAGUAAGAUGAGAGGCGCCCAUGGAAAGGACGAGUUAUUGAUGGCUUAUUUCAAUCAGAGUCUGAGUGGGGAAACUCUGGAGUGGUACACCAGCCAAGACGCUAGCAAUUGGUACACAUGGGACGAUAUGACCCAUGCCUUUUCCCGGCACUUUCAGUACAAUAUAGAAAUUGUCUCGGAUCGCAUGUCCCUUACCAAGAUGGAAAAAGGCCUAAUGAAAGCUUUAGGGAAUACAAGCUCAGAUGGAGAGAGCAAGCUGCCCGAGUCAAUCCCUCGAUGGAAGAAGCCGAGAUGGUUGGGUACUUUCUUCAAGCUCAAGAGCCUACUUACUUUGGGCAUUUGAUCUCGGGUGUGGGUAAGCCUUUUAAUGAUGUGGUAAAAAUGAGAGAAAUGGUAGAAGAUGGGCUGUAGUCAAGCAAGAUCAUGAGCUAUUCUGCCUUAAAAGCAAAAACACAAGAAAUUCAGAAUGACACAUGAAGCUUGCCGGGCCAGAAGAAAAAUGAUGAUGUUGGCAUGGUUUCUCAGGAUCACGGCAUGGCCCAACGGGUCCGCCUCACCAAUAUGCUCAGCCUCGACCCCGACCCCAGUAUUAUCCUACAAAUAACGUCUGGUCAUCCGUCCAACCACUAGGUCACUCCUUAUGGCGAGCGCCAACACUGCAUAAUGCACUCUUGCCUUCACAAUAUUUUAGAGCAUCCAACAACCCUAGAAAACAUGGGCAUGGAGGGGAACAAAGGUAAAGAAAUAGUUUCACAUCAAUCGGGGAAUCCCACACAAGCUUGUUUGAAAAGUUAAAAUAUUCUGGCUUGAUUGAACCGCUCUUCGGUUAUACUCCAGACCCAUAUGCAAAAGGUUUUGAUCCUGCUGUACGGUGCAUGUACCACUCUAAUGUCCAAGGGUAUAACAUAAAAGAUUGUCGUGCUUUGAAAAUGGAGAUAAAAGAAUGAUUCAAGAAGGGAUAAUUGUGGUCCAGGACAGUGCCACCCAGAACAUCGCGCAGAGUCCUUUACAUGCACAUAAUGAUGAACACUUUGUGGGGAUAAUGCAUGGUGACAGGGAGUAUGAAAAUCCUAUCAGGAACUUGCUGACUAAAGUUAAUGAUUUUGAAAUUGGAGAAGGCCCUGGUAAUUUUUAUGAGCAAAUUUGUUGCUAAAUAUCAAGCUUAGUAAUUGAAAGGUCAUUCUCUCCUCACUAGAAAGGAAUCUUGGUACCUUGUUUUUAUGUUUUUUCUGCUAUCUGCUUAUUUCGGGGUUGUAAUAUAGAUUUAUCUUAUUUGUUUUGGUGAUUCAAACCCUUCUAUCCUCUUUUUCCUAUCUCUAGGAGUCUUGUUAGUUAGUUUUGUGUCUCUAAGUUUGUCAUCUAGGGUUAUUUUGGGGCUUUAAUAUAGAUUUUAUUCUACUGUUCAAACCCUUCCGCCCUUUGGUCAAAUGAGAUUUUGUUUUUCUGUGAUUUGUAUUCUUCGUUUAGUUCUUUUCUUGUAUAUAGUUCUCUUCAGGCUAGUUCUAAUGACAUGACAUGCAUGUAGAACUUUUAACCAGUUAUCGAAAGCCAAUCUAAUCAUGGAAUAAUGAAACAUAGUUUUGAAUAUGAUAAAAAGAUGCAUUUGAGGAAACAAGUAAAGAUUCACGCAUUCUAAGAUAACCUAAAGCUUGAAUUGAGUGAACCUGAGGCAGUUAGUUUGGAAAAUCAAGAGGUUGAUGAUAGCAUACAAAAAGGGAAUGUCUCUCAAGCAGUUUGAGGUAGAUCAGUCAGUGUUGAAACUUUCUUCUACAUCGAGAUAAAGUUGAGUCAAGUCUGCUUCGAACUGGCAAGGGUCAUCCAUUGGGACAGAGGUAUUGGCCAUAGAUACUUUUGUUUGUGUUGAUUCCAUUAAUAGAUACUAUGUAUGAUUUCUUUUCUUAUCUUCAAUUGCAUAUUUGUACUUAGCAUUUUUAAAGUUUGUAUGACGAAGGAAUUUUAUUCCGCUACCCAAACACUUUUAUCUUUUGCUACCCCUUUUGAGCCCUAAUUUUUUUUUGUUUCAUACCCUUAUUUUGGAAUCAGAAGUAGAGUUAGGAACUAGAAAAGAAAAAGUAAAAGAGAAAAAGAAGAAAAAGAAAAUAAAAGAGAAAAAGAAGAAAAAGAGAAGAAAGAAAAAUAAGGAGAAAAGAAAAAAAGAAGGAAAAAAAAGAAAAACAACAAAUAAACCAACUUUGUGUUGGAACUACGUUCGGCCUAAUUCCUUUUAAGGAUACGUAGACAGCCUUACUCUGAGGUUAGGUCCCAUCAAAGCAAAAAAAAUAAAAAAUAAAAUCCCCAGACUCUAAUAAACUGGGAAGAAGUUUUAAUUUGGCCAAAAGAUCUGAUUCCAAAAGUUAUAAUUUUAAACCCUUUCAUCUUAAAUUAUUUUGAGCAUUCAUGUCACCCUUUCUUUCCAACCCUGUCCAAAAGCCUACAUCAAGGCCCAAAGAAAAACCUUUUGACCAAUAUUUGAGGAUGCCAAAUAAAGUGUGUGGUAAAAGUAUUAUCUUCUUAUAUCAUGGGUAAUACCUUGUUCUCAGCACAAAGAGAGAAAAUGAUAAAAUGAGAGUGUCUUAUCGGUGAAAACCCUCAUGGGCACGGUAAGGCGACGGUAAGUUGAGAAAAUGAGCAAAAUGAGAGAGGCUUGAUGGUGAAAACCCUUCAGGGCACUACAAGUCGAUUGAGGAUUGUGGAUCGAAUAGGACAAUUGGAGCGCUGAAGCCCAGUUUCACAACUUAGAGGCAUAACAAGAGUUGAAGAUUAGACUCGCUUGACAAAUCAGGCCGCUUAAUCCAAAAUACAUGUCAUGGUUAGUGGAGAUGGCCUUCAAAUCAGAUUAGUUUCUACUUUGUUCUUUUUCCUGGGUAAAAAUAUUUUCUUGUUAGAUACCAUCUCUUCUUGUUAUUAAUUGAACUCAACUUAAAUCUAAAAAUAUUAUAAUUAAACUAACAAUUUCCCUUAUUUUGUUCCUUUUGUUUUGUUUGAGUCCCUUUUGAGUCUAUUUUUGUCGAAACAAAUGAGAAAUGACUUCAAAAUCUACUGCCGACUUUUUAAUCACACAAAAGCCGAGUCUGGCAAGCACAUCAAAUGACAUAAGACAUAGGAGAAUAGUGUGUGCACUGAAUUGGUGAUAAUAGAUGUUCUUUGGGAUUGAUGUAAAAUGCAAAGAUUUGGUGAAUGUUAGAACACGAGUACAAUGCAUCGGGCAUAAGGUAUUGGACUUGAACGAAUCAGGAAUAUUUCUUGUGAUAAGGGUUGUCCGAAAAAGCAAUCUACCGAUAACAAGCACUAUCUUCCAAGUUGAAGUCCAAGUUGAUCGUGACAAGUGCAUGAGAAAUUUUCCUCGUAAUCUAUGCCACAAACUAACCACCAAGUUUUAAACUCACAAGUUUUCUUUGUCUGAAACAGGGAUGAAGGCUAUAUUCAUAUCAAAGCUUGAAUUUUUCAGGUGUAAUGCCCCUAUUCUGUUUACGCAAAGGCUAUUGAGAAGAUCACACAUCAUUCCUAGGAGAUGCACUUCCUAGUCUGGGUCUUUCAGGUUAUAUUUUUGUUUUAGGAGACACACUUCCUAGUUUUGGGUCAUUUAAGUUCAUUCCUAGGAGACGGACUUCCUAGUUUGAGUAAUUGAAGUUUCACCCGUAGGAGACGCACUUCCUAGUCUGGGUCUUUUAGGUUAUAUUUUUAUUUUAGGAGACACACUUCCUAAACUAAGAUUUUACCCCUAGGAGACACACUUCCUUCAUUCAAGUUUCAUCCCUAGGAUAUGCACUUCCUAGUUUGAGUCGUUUGAGUUCAUCCCUAGGAGACGCACAUCCUAGUCGAGUCUUUAGUUUUACUCUAAUCAUUGCAUCAAUAGCAUAGGUGAUUUAUAGUUUUGCUAACAACUCGCAAAUCUUCCUAGUGCAAAUUGGGGCAGAAAAUUUUGUUUGUUUUGUUGUUUUGAUUGCAGGCACCCACCUGAAGAAUGAGGAAAUUCUUUUCUAAGUUACUUCAAAUUUUAAGUCAGUAGCAGGCGCCCACUUGAAGAACGAGGGAAGUCAUUUCAGAAUUCAAUUCAAGUUAGAAGUACCAGAACCUCGCCUCAAGAAUGCGAGUCGACAGUCCGAUAUGACCAAAAGAAGAAGUCUCAAUCUAAAAUGAAAAAAAAAGAAAAAAAAUAAGUAAAUCCAAAUGCAGAAGCAGAUGAAAGAUGUGAACUGCUCAAGACAUGGUUGAAGUUACGAGCACUGCAUGUCCGGUCUUGAUCCGAAGAAGUCGUGGAAGAAUGAAUCAGCACCUGUAGCUAGCAAGCAUAAAGGUUCAAAUCAAAAGUCUGAAUGAAGAACCAUUCAAGACUCAAGAUCAAGCUUUAGUAGACUUAUAGAUACGAAUCUUGUAAUUCAUAGCAGAUAGGCUUGAUUAUUUCUUUUAGAUUUUGAUUUGAUAUAAUAAUAGGACCGCGGAUCGAACCUCGAUGGAACGGUAUCUCACUCGGCUCUCUCAUCCUCUCCACAUACUUCAUCGUUUUUUCCUACUUCUGAACUACACGUGACCUGAUUCCUCUAUAGCCAAGGAUAUGUAGGCAGCUCAAAUACCAGGGUUCAGUCACAAUCUUUUGUCCAUCUUUGUUUCAUUUUGAAUAAGCGUCGGGUCAUAAAUCAAUUAUGUUGCUUAUUGUUCUUUGCUCAAAAUACUCUUCGGGUUUUCAAGUAAAGAGGGACAGCUGUAAGCACGUAAUUUUUGACCAGCGUAACUUUUAAAAGUAGUAUUUUUAAAAUAUUUAUUUAUUUUUAUUUUUAUAGGAUUUAGCCUAUUUUUCACUUUUAAUCUAAUAGUAGAACAUAAAAUUCAAAAACACAAAAAAAUAGUUUCACUUUGUUUUUUACCCCAUUACAUAUCCUUUUCAAGAAUAAUGUAUUUUUGGUAGUAAUAUUAUUUUAAUUUCGUGUUGAUUUUAAUCUAAUCCUAUUUUUAUUUUUGAUAUUUGAAAAAUACCGCAAAAAUAGCUUUGUUUUAAUGAUUAAUUUUAUUUUAAUAGUUUAUUCUACUUAAGUAGGAUUAAUUAAUAUUUUAGUAGUAUUUUUAUCUUUAUUUUAUUUAAUAGGCAUGACUUAAUAUUUGGUUGAUAGAUUUUUGAUUAAUUAGGCCAAUUUUGAGCACAAACCUAGCCACCAAAGGCCCAAAUCGGAACAACCCAACACUCAACCCAUUAACCCAUCUAAUCUGAGCCAUCCAUCCUCUUUAAUUCAAUGGCCAAGGUUCUUUCCCCAAACGAUAUAAUUAUAAUACUUUUCACAAACCUCAACCCUAGAGACAAGAGAAAAAUUGGCCGCACCUAAUUCCUUCAUUUCAAAAAACACCCAGCAUAUUCAUCCAAACAUUUUUCUGCCAAUCUCAACGAUACCAACUUCCCAUCCAUUUUACGUCCUAAUUUAGCCUUUGAUCUUUAUUCCCUUUCCUUUUUCAAAUUUAUGUUGUUUCUCUAUUUCCUUGUUCGAUGUUAAUUAUUAAAAACUUCAAUUAUUAUGGCAUAAUCUCCUAAGACCCAGAAAGGUACGGGAACGAGAGUGGGAAUUAAAAAACGAAGCAGAAAAGCAAAAGGGGGAUGGGAACGAAAAUCCAAAGAGCAACGAAUCUCAAUGCUCCAUCUCAUAUUUUAUGGUCCAUUUACAAAAGUAGCGUCUCCUCCCAAACUUUAAUUUACAGUUACUGCUUCAUCUACAAGUGUAGCCUUAUCGGACAGCAGUGUGUCCUCAAUUGCUGACAAAUCUUUUUCAUUCUAAAGAGAUUUUGAAAAAAUAUAUAUAUAAAGGAGAUGAUGUUUCUUCUCGUCAAUUUCGGGCCUUUGAUUUUCAAUGGAGUUCGAUUGAGGCUGAGUCGUGUGAGAUCCGUGUGGAGCUGACGAGCGCGAGUUCCGUCGGAGGUACUGUUCACAAUCUUGUUGCUUAUGCGUUUCGAAGUUGUCCGAACAUUCAAAUUUUAGAUUCAAUAUUAAGGUCUAUUUCUCUUCACUAAUCCCAUUUGAUUUCUAUUUGUGCUUUCUUGUUUCUAAUAUCUGUUUUUAUUUUAAUUGCUUCUUCGUGGUUGUUGUAUAAAUAAUUUAUGAUUUAUAGUUGAGUGAGUGCAAAUGAUUUCACGUUUUCGCUGGGUAUUCAACUUGUAUUAGAUUUGAAAGUACUACUGUGUUGGGUAAGAUAAAUGGACAAUUGUAAAUUGAUUUGUCUUGGAUGAUGAAAUAAGCCGAAGGUUUUGGGCAUUAAAAAAAGUGAAAAACGAAAAUUUGGAUCUUAAAUCUUCAUUGUUUUUUUUAUAGCUUUAUUAUUCGUUUACUUCAUUAGGAGCAUAUUUAGGCCGUCAUCACCUGGGUAGGCAAACUUUUGGAUUUUUGUUAGUUUUGAGAAGAGAGGUCGUUCCCUUAGUUAAAUAUAUCCGGGGAAUACCUCGAAGGAUUUGUAUAUAUUUUAUUUCGGGGAAUGCCCCGUAGUAUUCUGUAAUUGGAGGUCGAAAGCGAACUCAUAAUACUUUUAUUCUUAUUUUUUUUUUUAUUUUUAUCUUUCUUUUAUUAGGUGAGAAUGAUCUUGAGCCUCUUAUGUGUUAAUUUUCCCAUUUCUGUAUUUAUCACCUCAAUUCGAAUAUUUUAAAACCAACUAGAUCGAGUAUGCAACCGUACUAGUUAUGGGACUCGGGGAAUGCCUAACAACUUCUCCUCGAGUCAAAUAAACUCCCUUACCUUGAAUCUCUGGUGCAAACUGGUUUAACAAUCAAAUGUGUUUUGAAGGAAAAUUGUUAUUUUGAAAAUGGUGACCUGGCACAUCAAAAUCAAAUGUCAGGUGACGACUCUGAAUAAUCUUUCGAAACAUAAAUACUUUGUCACUUUCAAAAUUGAAAACCCUUUUGAGCUUCAAAAUCCUUUUAUUAUUUUUAAGAGGGUUAGUGAUGAGUGAAAAAAAAGGGUGUGACACCUUGCUUUCAACUGCCUUAUCUCAGCAGUGGCACUGUUCUGAGCAUUGAUCUACUGAGAAAUGGUAGAAGUACUUCCAGCUUCUCUAGCCCUAUCAAUGCACUCACAUUCUUCGAGAGUGAACCUGGAGAAGGUUGCUUCUUAGUGACCACUUUAGCUUAUCCCAGAGGAACCUUGAAGUACUCAAAAACAUUGGUGAGAAGGAACCCAUAAUGCAGCCCAUGAUUACCAUCUUUAAAAUCUACAACUUGCUGCAUGUGCUCUAUCAUGAUACUAGGCAAAUUGAUGGUAGUGUAGUUGUCCAGUGCUUCCAUGAGGAACAUGUGUGCACGAGAAGUAAUAAAUCUUCUUUCAGCAUGAGGGAGCAAGACCUUGUUCCCCAUCUCAAAUAACAAUUGGUAAACUGGAAGGAGAGCCUUUUUCUGUACCCGUUUCCCUUGCUGAACUGCUCUGUCCUUCAGGAUAGUGUUUUUGAAGUUUUGAGAACAGUUCACUGAACAAUAGACAACCCUUCAGCAGGCACACCCAGAAUAGACCCCAACAAGGCAAAGUCCGUUACCAUAUCAACUCCAUUCACCAGUACACAGAUGUGAUCAUCCUCAACUUUGAAGAAGCCGAUAUAGAAUCUUUGUACUUCCUCCUCAUACACUUUUGGAGCAUCAUUUGUGAACAAAUGUGUCCACUGUUGAAACUAACAAAUUUCAACCAACUGUCGUAUUCCAGCCUCUUCAAAAAUGUUAGGGGCAAAUAUGCGGCCCCAUAACACUUUUUGAUUCCUCAAUUUCUCUUUCCCAACACUAUGGGGAUCACUAACUUUGAUCUUCUUGGAGGAACCAGGUUCCUCAUCAACAUCAACUUUUCUUUUAACAGACUUGCGAACAUACUUCCCUUUUUCAUCAGACUUCACAUAAUUUUAACCCAAUUCUUCCAUCACCUUGGCACCAGACUCUACCACCAACUUAUCACCAGAUUCCUUCAGUACAUUUUCACUAGAGACACCAUUAUCAACCUUGUUCAGAUUUUCAGCAUUCACAGAAGAUCCUUUUUUGGGCUUGGGGAGACCAUGCUUCUAUGAGCGCUUUCUAGUUAAGGAACUAGGUUCCUCUUCUUCUUCUUCUUCUUCAUCAUCCACAGUUACAACAGACACUGCCUUUUCACUCACAAACUUCCCAUCUUUCAUCAAUUUUCUUCUUCUUGAUUUAACUUGGCUAUUCUUAAGAGCAAACUCAAGAGCCUCCUUCUUUUGCAACCUUGUAGUAGGUUGUUUAGGAGUAGACUCUAGAGCAACAACUGGUCUCCACUUACCCAAGCUGGCAAUUGGCAAAUUAUCAGAAUCCUUCACUAUCCCCAUUUUGUUAUUUAGACACAGAUCUCAUCUCAGGCACAACCACACACAGAGGCUCAACAUAUAAAUGGGGGGAGAGAGUAGGGUUAGUGCUGACCUGGGGUUCUUGAGAGGACCCUGAGUUGGAUCCUCCGAAGAGGGAUCAGGUCCUACCGCAGGUUCCCCAGUAGCACUCUCCUGUGCCGAUGGUUCAAUAGGCACAAGCUCCUUACCUUCUAUCAAAGUCUUAGACUCAGACCCAUCCUCACCUCCUUCGAUAAUAACCCCUUCAUUUACUAUAGAUAACAUGUUUUUUAUUACUUCUUUCUCUUGUAAAUCCAUGGACAAUGUAGGAGUAGGAGGAGUGUUACCUAUGGACUCAAGAUUAGGAACUAUCUUCGUUGAGUCAGUAUCCUCAGAAUUAGCAGUUUGGUCGACAUUUGAACCUUUGUCCAUAGGAAGACUGGAUAUUUCUUGAUUUUCCUCUUCUUCAACUAUGCCUUUUUUACCUAGCUUUUACGGCAAGGCAAAGGGAGAACUCGUAGCCACAAACCUUUUAGGGGUCGAGCUUUUGCGGCUCCUAUGACAACCAGAACUCGAUUGUGUAGGUGAGUAGACUGAGUAUGAUGGUGACUCUGUUAGGGUUUUGGUAAGUAGUGGUGUUUAGUGAGGAGUAUGACAUCAGUGUUUUAACUAGUGAAGACUCAAUGUGUGUGUUGCUUGGAACACUCGAGGUUGCAUGAUUUUCAUCCAUGGUGAGAAGAAGAGAAGGGAUUUGGUAGUUUGAAGAGGAAAGAAUAAGGAAAAGUUUGAAGUUUGAUGUGAAGACUUAUGACAGUGAUAGAUCUAUUUAAGAUGGAUACGGGACCGGUUAGAAAGAGAGGCAGUUUUGGGAGUCAGGUCGAUUACCAACGGAGGAGACGUUUGUGUUCAAAAGAUGCUAGGAAAAGAAACUAACACACUGACGAUAUGACACUUAUUUUAACCGUCCAAAAUUGUGCAUGAGAGAACAGAGAAACUACUAACAUGUUUCAGAAGAACCAAGUUCCCUGACUAAUCUUGCAUCUGUAAGCUUUGCCCUUUUCCCAGCAUACACUAUAUCAACUGCUUAUUUGUUGUGUAAUCAUCAUGCGUGUCUACCUGUAAAGUUAUAAAGAUGAGUUAGACUUUCUCAGAAAACACUUUAUUUAUCUAAUUUUACCUGGACAUUUCUUUCAUAGCCAAUCAUCAAGGGACCAGGUUUUUACUUAGGUUUUAUCAACUCUAGUGCCAGGAGAUUUCUUUCAUAAUGUUCUCUGCUUAAUGCCUCGGUGAAUAUAUCAACAAUCUAAUCUUCUGUGCUGCAAAAUUUCAUGCAAAUGAGCCCAUUUUCAACAUUGUCUCCGAGGAAGUGAUGACGCACAUCAAUGUGCUUGGUUCUCUUAUGUUGGACUAGAUUUUUGGCCAUAUUGAGUACACUUGUAUUGUCACACAAGAGGGGCACACAGUCAGAGAACACUCCAAGUCUUCCAACUGCUGCUUGAUCCACAGUAGUUGAGCACAUCAAGAAGCAGCUGCUACAUAUUCCGCUUCUGUAGUUGAGAGUGCCACUGAGUUUUGCUUCAUUGUACCUCGUGAUAUUAGACAAGAACCCAAGAAAUGUGCAAUUCCGGACGUACUUUUCCUAUCCACCAGAUAUCCAACAUAAUCAGCAUCAACUUACCAAACAAGAUCAAAGUUGUCUCCUGAGGGAUAGUAGAGAACCAGGUCCUACGUUCCUUUGAGAUAUCUCAAUAUUCUCUUGGCAACCUUCAGAUGAGAUUCCUUUGGAUUGAAUUGAAACCUUGCACAGAGACCCACGCUGAACACACUGUCUGGUCUGCUUGUAGUGAGAUACAUAUGUGACCCUAUGAUCUCUCUAUACAUGGUCUGAUUUACAGGGGAACCAAGUUCAUCCAUGUCUAGAUGAGUAGCUGUGGCAAUAUAAGUGUCAAUAACUUUUAAUUCUUCCAUGUCAAACAUUUUCAAUAGCUCCUUGAUGUACUUCUGCUGACUUAUCAAUGUUCCCUUUUGAGAUUGUUUCACUUGAAGUCCUAGGAAGAAAUUUAAUUCUCCCAUCAUACUCAUCUCGAACUCACUCCCCAUGAGUUUUGCAAAUUCUUCACAUAGAGAGUCAGUUGUGGCUCCAAAAAUGAUAUCAUCAACAUAUACUGCACAAUGAGCAGGUUCCUCCCCCGUUUCUUCAGAAAAAAAGGUGUUGUCAAUUUUCCCUCUUGUAAAGCCAUUUUCUAGAAGGAAUUUUGACAACCUUUUAUACCAAGCCCAAGGAGCCUGCUUUAGCUCAUACAAUGCCUUGUCCAGUUUGAACACAUGCUCAAGAUGUUCGUGAUUCUCAAAUCUAGGUGGUUGCUUGACAUAAAAUUUUUUAGGAAGCCAUUCAGAAAUGCACUUUUGAUAUCCAUUUGGAACAGUUUGAAUUCCAUAUGUGAUGCAAAGGCAAUAAGAAUUCUGAUAGCCUCCAUUCAAGCGAUUGGGGUAAAAGUUUCAUCAUAGUUAAUCCCUUCUUCUUGAUUGUAGCCUUGAACUACAAGCCUUGACUUGUUUCUUGUUGUGUUUCCAAACUCAUCAAGCUUGUUCCUGAAUAACCACCUGGUUCCUAUAACAUUCGAUCUGCAGGUCGAGGAACCAGGUGACAUACCUUGUUCCUCUCAAAUUGAUGAAGUUCUUACUGCAUGGCUGUAAUUCAGUCUGCAUCUUUUAGUGUUUCCUUGAUAUUUUUGGGCUCUAUUUGAGAGAGAAAAGUUGAGAAGGCAAGUGAGUUUCUGGUCUUUGAUCUGGUUUGAAUUCCUGAAUCAAUAGGAGUGAUGAUGUUAUCAAUGGAGUGUGAACUUUUGUGUUUCCAGUUAGACACCUGAACCUCAUUGUGCAAAGUUCCAGGUAUUUCUGCCUGUAAGACUUGAUUUCUUCUUGUCUCAGCAUGUGGAGUUCCUUGAAAAACAUCGACAACUCUAUUUUCAGCUUCAGUUGUUGUAAUUGAGGGACCAGGUUCCUCUCCGUCAAUUGGAGAUAUGGUUGCACCAUCCUCAUUUGAUUCCUCAACGUGGCUCAUCAUAUUAGCUUUUCCAUUUGCCAUGUCAAUGAUUUCACCAGGGACCAAUAACUGUUCUCCGUCUUGAUCAUUCUUAUCAUUCAAAUUCUUUCUACAUGGGUCACGAGAUUCAUUGAAGAUCAUAUGAAUGCUUCCCUCAACACAUUGAGUUCUUUUGUUAUACACUUUGUAGGCUUUGUUGUGUGAUGAAUAGCCUAGAAAGAUUUCCUCAUCACUUUUGGCAUCGAAUUUUCCAAGAGCUUCCUUUCCAUUAUUGAGGACAAAACAAUUAUACCCAAAAGUCCUUAGAUGUGUCAGCUUAGGAUUCCUUCCAUUCAACAUUUCAUAUGGAGUUUUGUUCAGAAGGGACCUGAUCAUGCACCUGUUCACCAAGUAGUAAGCAGUGUUGACAACUUCUACCCAGAAAUUCUUUGCAAUCCCACUGUCAAUCAAUAUUUUCCUUGCCAUAUCUUCAAGAGUUCUAUUCUUCCACUCGACAACACCAUUUUAUUGAGGUGUUCUUGGAGCAGAAAAAUUGUGAGUGAUACCAUUUUCAGUACAUAACUCAACAAAUUUGGGAUUGUUGAACUCUGUCCCAUGAUUAGACGUGUUGCAAGCUACCUUAUUACCCAUUUUCACUUGGAUCUUUUUGACGAAGGCAAAAAACACUUCAAAAGUUUCAUCCUUGGUUCUAAGAAACAAAGUCCACAUGAAUCUGGAGUAGACGUCAACUAUAACGAAGAUGUAUUUCUUUCUUUCUCUGCUUGGCACCCUCAUAGGUCCAUAUAGAUCCAUGUGAAGAAGAUCAAGUGACCUCGAGGUACUGACUUCCUUUUUGGGCUUGAAUGAGGAUCUGUCUUGCUUCCCUUUUACAUAUGCAUCACACACUUUGUGAUCCUUGAAUCUUGAAUUGGGCAGACCACGAACCAGGUCCUUCCUGACCAAUUUAUUUAGCAACGUGAAGCUUACAUGAUCUAUCCUCCUAUGCCAUAAUUUAGCAUCAUCAUAAACAACACUUAGACAGCUGAGAUCACCACUCUACAUAGACUCAAAAUCAACAACAUAGAUAUUUUUGUAUUUUAUUAAGCUUGAAUCAGGUUGCAAUUCAUAAUUUUGAUGUUGUUUGAUGUAAUUUGAAGGCUCGACUAAGUUCGUAAUGUGUUUUAGAAUUGGUUGGUAUGAUUGGACGGGGGCCCGGAGGCCUCGGGUGGAUUUCGGGUGGUUAACAGAUCAAAUUUGCAUUUAGAGGAAGAGCUAAAGCAGCUAGGCAUCCGGUGUAAUAGCACCUGCGUGAAGUGGGCUGCAAGUGCGAGUCCGCAUGUGCAGGAAAUGACUCGCAGAAACGGAGGGGGGUUAGGUUGCUGAGAACCGCAGGAGCAGAAAAGUUUGCGCACCUGCGAUGGCAUAGGUGCGAGGUUAGUCAUUGUAGAAGCAGAAAGUGCCACAGGUGCGAAAGAAGUUGCCGCAUAAGCGGAAGCGCGGAUGCGGCCAAGGAGUCCGCAGGUGCGGAAAGUCAGUGGGCAGUGAGGUUUCUUUAAAACGGGACUUGGCCCAUUUUUCUCCCAUUGUUCUUUGGGUUAGGAAAUUUUGGAGAGCUUUAAGGGGAGAUUUUCAUCAAGCAACUCAAGGUAAGUGAUCCCCACUUAUUAUAAGUUAAAUACAUGAUUUGUAUAAGGAUUUAAACAUGCAAAUUAGUAUAAAUUAUGGGGUUUUUGAUAGAAAAUUUAGAAUUUGGUAUUUUGAAUUUUGACCAUGAAUUUGGGCAUGUAAUUGAGAAUAAAUUAUAUAUUUGAGUUCGUGAAGUUAUGGAUAAAGAUUAUCUUUGAAAAUUUUAGAAAUCUGGGCACGUGGGCCCGAGGGUGAUUUUAUCCGCUUUUCGAGCGGAGUUGGGAAAUUAUUUAAAUUGAAUUGUUGUGAGUAUUAGAGUAUAUUUUUAUAGGUUUGCACAUUUAUUGACUAGUUUUGGAGCGUUGGGCACUGGUUUGAUUCGCUGGAAGGGCUUGGGAGACGGUUAUGGAGCUUUAGAGCGAGGUAAGUCUCUUUUCUAACCUUGUAAGUGGGAAUUAAUCCCAUAUGUGAACUAAAUUAUUACAUACUUCUAUUUGUGGGUCUACGUUUGCAUGAGGUGACGAGAGUCCGUGCGUAGCUACCAUUAUGCUUAACUGCGGGUAGUCUAGGACCCAAAAGAUGCUAUACUUGCGAUAUUUACAACCUUAUUGUCAAUAUAAAUUGCUUAAAUCAUAUCAAGCUUAGUAAAUGAAUUUCUAAGAGGUUAACCUUUAUUUUCUUGACCGGUAAAAGAGGAUUUACAUUUCCUUGGAUAAUUGCUCCUUUAUGAAUUCUUGAUUGACUGUUGGAUUGUGUUUUCCUUUUAUGGAGCGGACCGAAUGCCUCGACAGAUAAAAUAGAUGCAUCUAUCAUUUGUGUUGUUCGACCCUUGGUAGUGCACAAUUUAAAUAUUAUGUUGGAUCGGGCCGUACGACCUCGACAUGAUUGCGCAUGACUUAAUUGAUUGUUUUGGAAUUAUUGAUACUUGAUGUGGCUUCAUUGGUCGGAGAUAUAAAUUGUUGAAAGACGAAAAUAAAUUUGGAAAUCUUCUAUUAACAAAAGAAUUGUUUACAUGUUUCAUGUUAUUGAGUUUACAGUCGUCUUAUAAAAUUCACGAUUAAUCAUAUUAUCGAUAUAUUAUUGUUGGCCAUAGUACGUGUCGGAGUCGGCCUUGUGUCACUACUUCUUCGAGAUUAGACUGGAUACUUACUGGGUACGCAUUAUUUUCGUACUCAUACUAUACUUGCUGUACAUUUUGUUGUACAUGCACAUAUAUGGCUAGUGGCCUAGCUAGCACAACGACAUAGUUGGCGCGGGGACUUAGGUGGGCUGCAUUCCAUAUUAUGACCCGCAGCUAGCAGAGUCUCCUUUAGGGUAUUUUCAUUGUUUUCUUUCCUGUCCAAAUUUGUAUUCUGGACAGUUGUUGUAUUUUAUUUUCUUUCCUAGUAAAUGCUCAUUCAAUUAUGACACCGGAUUCUGGGAGGAUUAUGUGAUAUUCAGUAUUGAAAUUGGAAAACAUUAUUAUUUAUUCUGAUAGAAACUAAGCGUUAUAGAGAAGCAAGUUCUCUAUCAGUUCCUACCGUAAGCAAUAGACUGUAGAACCAAAUAGUAUAGGGAAUCAAGUUCUCUAUUUGUUCCCACUGUAAAUCGAUAGUAAAUAAAGAACACAGAGGAAUUUUACGUGGAAAACUCCCAGCUUAACGGGAUUCAAAACCAUGACCUACCCUUGUAGGAUUUCAACUUCACUACUGAGCAAUCUUUAGAUUACAACCUACUGUAACCUAGGAAUUAACCUCUUAAUCCCUCACUAACUUGUAGCUACACUAUUACAAGCCACUUUGUAAUAACUCUAUUACAAAUAGUUNNNNNNNNNNNNNNNNNNNNNNNNNNNNNNNNNNNNNNNNNNNNNNNNNNNNNNNNNNNNNNNNNNNNNNNNNNNNNNNNNNNNNNNNNNNNNNNNNNNNNNNNNNNNNNNNNNNNNNNNNNNNNNNNNNNNNNNNNNNNNNNNNNNNNNNNNNNNNNNNNNNNNNNNNNNNNNNNNNNNNNNNNNNNNNNNNNNNNNNNNNNNNNNNNNNNNNNNNNNNNNNNNNNNNNNNNNNNNNNNNNNNNNNNNNNNNNNNNNNNNNNNNNNNNNNNNNNNNNNNNNNNNNNNNNNNNNNNNNNNNNNNNNNNNNNNNNNNNNNNNNNNNNNNNNNNNNNNNNNNNNNNNNNNNNNNNNNNNNNNNNNNNNNNNNNNNNNNNNNNNNNNNNNNNNNNNNNNNNNNNNNNNNNNNNNNNNNNNNNNNNNNNNNNNNNNNNNNNNNNNNNNNNNNNNNNNNNNNNNNNNNNNNNNNNNNNNNNNNNNNNNNNNNNNNNNNNNNNNNNNNNNGCUAGCACUUGAGAGAAUAUUUUCUUUUGAUUUUGCAAGUGUUAGAGAGAUGAAAUCCCUUUGCUCAUGUUGAUAAUAUAUAUGUGUGUGUUUGUUUGUGUGUGUGAUGUCAUCAAGGAUGAUGCAAUAAAGUGCCCUUUAGUUUGGCCUUAGCAAGCUACAGCUGUGCUGCUGUACUGCUGCCAGAUGGUACAGUGCAGUAGCUUUACAGCUGUAGAGUUGACUGUAGAACGAUGAUGGGAACUGAUCCCUAUCUAGCCCUCUGCUGUUUCCUUAUCUGAUUUCAUUGAGAAUUGAACCAGACAUCUAACUAGUUAUUCUGAAUGCAAGGGAACUUAAUUAUAUCAGAUUCCUUAUUUUGUUCUCUCAUGAAGUAAGUUGUUUUACCUUCCUUGAUUGUAUUUAUAGAUGUGUGACAUCACUUCUAAUGAUGUAAGCAAGGUAGGUAAAAAGCCUUCCAUAGAAAGUUGACUGCUGCAAUGUAGCAUGUGCAGGCAACAACUUUCUAACUGGAGAGUUAACUUCGUACAGUCUCCUCAGGAACAUGUAGGGACCUAUUCCCUCAGCUAUUCCUUCCGCUCUGAAGAGUUGAGUUAUAUCCCAUGCUAGAUCCCAACCUGGAACUUUUGUGAUCUUAAGGUCUUGUAAAUGUGUAAUAGGUUCCUUAUCUGGUUCUGGAUGGAUUACAUCAUCAAAAUAUAAAGUAAAGUACUUAUGCCCAAAGUAUUUGUAACCUAUCAUAUUCUGUAAAGUUCAUCUGUUACUAGUUAAAUUGAAGGAAAAUUUAUGAUUUCAAAAAUAUUAAAAUAAGAACCAAAUUAAUUAUUUAUUAUUGUCUUGCCUGACAGCGGUGUCCGGUGCCAUCACGACCUUUAAUGGAUUUUGGGUCAUGACAUGAGAACCUUUGAACUAGCAAACUUUUGUAACAUGACCUAUUUGUUUCUAAUUUACACAUAAUGCAUCAGGUCUCCACCAACAAAAUCUUUUUAAGUGUGUUUUUGUUUUGAAAUAUUUGCAAUUAGGAUAAUCGACUUUUUCUUUUAGGUGUUCCAUAUAAAAAUUACCCUCAGUAACUUUGUCUUGUCUUAAGGCCCUUAUUUGCUAUUGUGCUUGAAGAUUGCUUGUUAAUUUUUCAACAGAGAUGGUAGAGAGAUCCUUAGACUCUUUUAUAGAGAAAAUUUUGGACUCAAAUCUCUCGAAAAUUAUCACAAGAAAUUUUUUAACUAUACUGUCAUCUUUAAAAUCCUCGCCAAACAACCUGAUUCUAUUGGAAAUUAAAGAAAUUCUAUUACAAUACUUAAUGAUGGUCUCAUCAUCUUGCAUUCUAUGAGAUUAAAUAUCUCUUUUCAAAUUCAAAAUUUGAUUUUGUCUGCCUCGUUCACUUUCUUGAUAUUCCUAUUUGAGUUUUUUUCAAGCUUCUUAUUAUCUCACAUACAAUCAUUUUAGAGAAGAUUGAAUUUGCCACUGAAUUUUGAAUUAUAGUUUUGGCUUUGUAUUUUUUGGUUUUCUCUUCUGAAUGAGCUUUGAUUUGGGCAAAGCUAGGAUUCACAAGAAGUGAUGUGAGGACCCAAUAGAUCAUCUAGAGUUUUAGAACGUAAUUAUGUAUUUCGAAGCCUCAAACACCUCAUUUUAGCAUUCCUUGAUUUGCAUGCCAGUCCAGGACUUUAUCUAGAGGGCUGUUGUGUUAGAAAUUGAUAAAAUAUGAAAUUUUUCUUUAGAACAUCGAUCAAUAUUUUGAGCAAACGGAUGCAAAUCUAUGAUUUGAUGAUCCCGGUGAAUUCGUAUCGUGAUUUGGGACUUGGGCACAUGCCCGUAAUCAAAUUCGAAGGUCCCUAGCUUGAGUUUUUGUAAUUUGUUUAAAAUUUGAAGUUUAAAGGCUUAAUGAAUCUAAAAGUUUGACCAAUGUUUGGCUUUAUUGAUAUCGGGUCCGUAUUUUGCUUGUGGAACCCAGUAUAGGUCCGUUACUAUAUUUUUGACUUGUCUAUCAAAUUUGGAGAGAAAUGGAGUUACUUUGACGUGAUUCAAAUGUCCGGUUGUUAAAAUAGCAAUUCUAAAGUUUUAUUGAAAAUUUCAUUUGAUUUGGUGCCCGAUUAAUAGUUCUAGGUGUUAUUUUGGCGAUUUGAUUAUGCGAGCAAAUUUGUAUGAUAUUUUUUGGACUUGUGUGCAUGUUUGGUUUGGAGCCCCAUUGGCUCGGGUGAGUUUCGGAUAGGCUACAGAGUGGUUUGGACUUAGAAAAACAAAGUUGGUGUGCUUCAGUUCUGGUGCGGGCCUCAGGUGAGGUCAGACCUUGCAUUUGCGACACUGCAAAACUCCUAUUAGGUUCACAAUUGAAAGAUACUUCCUCACAAUUGUGAAGAAUAGCUGGGCACCACAGGUUCACAUUUGCAACCAAUGGGGUCGAUUGUUUCAGAUGACGGGUUCUACCAAGAGGUGGUGGAAGGAUUAUGUAUCUACUAUACCAGCUGGGUCACCUGCUCUUAGUUGGGACUAGUUCUCUCAACUAUUUCUUGAGAAGUUCCUUCCUAUCAUAUUGAGAGAGGAUUACCGUAAUCUGUUUGAGCGUCUCCAACUGGGUAGUAUGUCAGUCACUCAGUAUGAGACUUGUUUUUUGGAACUAGCCCAUCAUGCUCUUCUUAUGCUUCCUACUGAGAGAGAGAGUGAGAGAGUGAGAGAGUGAGAUGAGGUUUAUUGAUGGACUCGCUCACCCUAUCAAUCUACAGAUGGCCAAGGAGACUGAGGGUGAGAUUUCUUUUGAGACGACUGCUAAUUUCACCAGGUGGAUCAAGAUUGUUCUUUCAUAGGAGAGAGAGCAGAGGUUUGAUAAGAGGCCUCGUCAUUCCGAUGGAUUCAGUGGUGCUUCAUCUGGAUGCAGGGAUGCUUUUGGUAGAGGCCAUCCUCCCAAGCUGUUUCAUUCAGCGUUCGUGGCAUCCCAUAAUGCUUUAGGUGGUCGUGGCCCUCAUAUGUCUCAUUCCGAUGAACUAGCCUACAACGCACCACCAGCUCCUAUCGGUGCACUUCCGCUCCAGAUUUUUUAGGGUGGUUACUCAGGUCGACAGGGUCAGCAGUCAGAACAGCCGUGGUCCUAUUAUACUUGUGGUGACCCGAGGCACAUUGCUAGAUUUUGCCCUUGGGCACCGGGAAGCUCACAAUAUCAGGGUUCUUGUGCCAUGGUCCCGGCACCGGGUGCUUCACCGCCUGCUUAGCCAGCUAGAGGUAGGGGUCAGACAGCUAGAGGUGGAGGUCAGGACAUUAGAGGUGGAUGUCAGGCUGCUAGAGGUGGAGGCCAUCAAACUAUGUCUCGUCCUAGAUAUGUAGUUCGGCGUGGUGGGGCCCAACCCCGAUGUUAUGCCUUCCCAGCAAGGCCUGAGGCUGAGUCAUCUAAUGCUGUUAUCACAGGUACUAUUUCAGUUUGCCAUAGAGAUUCUUUAGUUCUAUUUUUUCCAGGCUCAACUUAUUCGUACAUGUCAUCCUAUUUUGCUUCAUAUUUGGUUGUGCCGCGUGAUUCUUUGAGUGCUCAUGUGUAUGUGUCCACUCAUAUGGGAUAUUCUAUUGUUGUAGAUCGUGUUUAUCGUUCGUGUAUGGUUACUAUUGGGAGCCUUGAGACUAGCGUAGAUCUUCUACUUCUCAAUAUGGUAGAUUUUGAUGUUUUCUUUGGUAUGGAUUGGCCGUCACCUUAUCAUGCUAUAUUAGAUUGUCACGCCAAGAAGGUGACCUUAGCCUUGUCGGGGUUGCCUUGAUUAGAGUGGAGAAUGACUCAUGGUCAUUCUACCAGCAGGGUUAUCUCUUAUGUGAAGGCUUGGCAUAUGAUUCAAAAAAGGUGUCUAGUUUAUUUGGCUUAUGUUCGCGAUUCUAGUGUAGAGGUUCCUUCCAUGGAUUCAGUACUACGUUGUUCGUGAGUUUCCAGAGGUGUUUGCUGCAGACCUAACAGGGAUGCCACCCGAUAGGGAUAUUGACUUCAUUAUUGAUUUGGCUUCGGCCACUCAGCCCAUUUCUAUUUUAGUAUACCGUAAGGCCCCGUUGGAGUUUAAAGAAUUGAGGGAACAAUUGCAAGAUUUACUUGAUAAGGGCUUCAUUAGACCUAGUGUCACGUCAUGGGGUGUGCCUGUGUUGUUUGUGAAAAAGAAGGAUGGGUCGAUGAGGAUAUGCAUAGAUUACAGGCAAUUGAACAAAGUCACCAUCAAGAACAAGUUUCCAUUGCCGAUGAUUGAUGACUUAUUUUAUCAGCUUCAGGGUGCCAAGGUGUUUUCAAAUAUUGAUUUGAGGUCUAGCUACCAUUAGUUGAGGAUUAGGGCAUUCGAUGUCCCUAAGACAGCUUUUUGGACUCGGUAUGAGCAAUAUGAGUUUCUAGUAAUGUCAUUUGGGCUGACAAAUGCCCUAGCAAUAUUUAUAGAUUUGAUGAACCGGGUGUUUAACUCCUAUUGGUAUUCCUUUGUGAUUGUGUUAAUUGAUGAUAUCUUGAUAUACUCCUGUUUCCGAGAGGAGUAUGAGCAACAUCUUCAGAUUGUACUUCAGACUCUGAGAUAGCUAGUUAUAUUCUAAGUUUUCAAAGUGUGAGUUUUAGUUGGACUCAGUUGCUUUCUUAAGGAACGUAGUAUCAGCAGAGGGCAUUCAAGUGGAUCCUAAGAAGAUUGAGACAGUUCGGAUCUGGCCUAGACCCAGUUCAGCUAUGGAGAAUCGGAGCUUCCUGGGUUUGGCGGGUUAUUACUGUUGGUCCGUGGAGGGGUUUUCAUCUAUAGUUGCCCCAUUGACUAGGUUGACCUAGAAGGGUGCCCUUUUAGAUGGUUAGACGAGUGUGAGACGAGCUUUCAGAACUCAAGAUUACUUCGCCUACUGCGCCAGUGUUGGUGUUGACCACAGGUUCAGGAUCUUACACGGUGUAUUAUGAUGCAUCUCAUAUUGGGCUUGGUGCAGUAUUGAUGCAGGAUAACCGAAUGAUUGCAUAUGUGUCAUAGCAGUUGAAGUUUUAUGAGAAAAAUUACCCUGUUCAUGACUUAGAGUUGGCAGCCAUUGUUCAUGUGCUGAAGAUUUGGAGGCACUAUCUUUACGACGUGUCAUGCGAGGUAUUCACAGAUCAUCGAUGUUUGUAGUAUUUGUUCAAACAGAAGGAUCUCAAUUUGAGGCAUAGGAGAUAGUUGUAGUUGUUGAAAGACUAUGAUAUAACCAUCUUGUAUCAUCCCAAGAAGACCAAUGUGGUGGCCGAUGCCUUGAGUAGAAAGGCAGUGAGUAUGGGUAGCCUUGCAUACAUUCCAGUCGGUGAGAGACCGCUUGCAUCAGAUGAUCAGGAUUUGGCCAAUAAGUUUGUGAGGUUGGAUGUUCAAAGCCCAGUUGUGUUCUAGCUUGUAUAGUCGCUCGGUCUUCCUUGUUUGAGCACAUCAAGGAACGGUAGUAUGAUGACCCUCAUAUGCUAGUCCUUAACGACAUAGUACGAUAUGGAGGUUCUAAGAAGGUUACUGUGGGAGAUGAUGGAGUUUUGAGGAUAAAAAGUCAUAUUUGUGUGUCUAAUGUAGAUAGACUUCGUGAGUUGAUUCUUGAGGAGGCCCACAAUUCUCGGUAUUCUAUUCAUCCAGGUGCUGCCAAGAUUCAUUAGGACUUGCGGAAGCGUUAUUGGUGGAGGAGGAUGAAGAAGGAUAUAGUUGCAUAUGUAGCUUGGUGUCAAAAUUGUUAGCAAGUAAAGUAUAAGCAUCAGAAACCUGGUGGUUUGCUUCAGAAGUUAGAAAUUCCUAAGUAAAAGUGAGAGUGUAUCACUAUGGACUUUGUUGUUGGGGUCUUACGAACUCAACAGAAGGUUGAUGUAGUUUGGGUGAUCGUGGACAGGCUGAUCAAGUCAGCGCAUUUCAGUCCUGUGGUAGUUACCUAUUCUUUAGAGCGGUUGGCUGGGAUUUACAUCCGGGAGAUCAUUUUUCUCCACGGUGUGCCCAUGUCUACCAUUUCUGAUCGAGGUAUGCAGUUCACCUUGCACUUCUGGAGGGUAGUACAACGUGAUUUGGGCAUGCGGGUUGAGUUGAGCACAACAUUUCAUCCUUAGACGGACGGACAGUCUGAUUCCACUAUUUAGAUAUUGGAGGAUAUGCUCCGCACUUGUGUUAUAGACUUCGGAGGUUCUUGGGAUUAGUUCUUGCCACUUGGGAAGUUUGCCUGCAAUAACAGCUACCACUCGAGCAUUCAGAUGGCUCCAUAUGAGGCAUUAUACGGGAGGUAGUGCGGUUCCCCAGUUGGAUAGUUCUAGUAGGGGGAGGCUCGGCUGUUGGGUGCAGAUUUGGUACAGGAUGCCUUGGAUAAGGUCAAGAUUAUUUAGUAUCAACUUCGCACAACUCAGUCUAGGCAGAAGAGUUAUGCUGACCGUAGAGUUCGUGAUGUUGCAUUCAUGGGCGGAGAGAGGGUGUUGCUUCGGGUUUCACCCAUGAAGGGUGUGAUGAGGUUUGGAAAGAAGGGCAAGUUGAGCCCUAGGUAUAUCGGACCUUUUGAUAUUCUUCAGAGAGUGGGUGAGGUAGCUUAUAAACUCGUAUUGCCACCUAGCUUGUCAGCAGUCCAUCCGGUGUUCCAUGUUUCCAUAUUUUGUAAGUAUCACGAUGAUCUGUCCUAUGUGUUGUAUUUCAGCUCGGUCCAGUUGGACAAGGAUUUAACUUAUGAGGAGGAUCCGGUGGCCAUUCAAGUCCGGCAGGUUUGUCAAUCGAGGUCAAAGAGUUAUCCUUCAGUUCGAGCGUAGUGGAGUGGUCAGCCCAUCGAGGAAGCUACUUGGGAGUCCAAGUCGGACAUGCGGAGUAGAUAUCCACACCUUUUUGCCAGUCCAAGUACUUUUUUAUGUCCGUCCGAGGACGAACUGUUGUUUUACAGGUGGAGAAUGUGAUUACCUGAUAGGUCAUCUAGCGUUUUAGAACUUAAUUCUGUGUUUCGAAGCCUCAAACACCUCAUUUUAGCCUUCUUCGAUUUGCAUGCGUAGUCUGGGUCUUUUUCUGGAAGGCUGUUAUGUAAGAAAUUGCUAAAAAAUAAAAUUUUGCCUUAAAAAUCUAUUUGAGUUAACUUCGUUCAACGUAUUGAGAAAACAGACCUAGAUCUGUAUUUUGAUGGUCCCGGUGGAUUCGUAUCAUGAUUUGAGACUUGGGAGUAUGCCCGUAAUCGAAUUCGGAGGUCCUUAGUUCGAGUUUUUGCAUUUUGUGGAAAAAUUAAAGUUUGAAGGCUUAAUGAAUCUAAAAGUUUGACCAAUGUUUGACUUUAUUUACAACGGGUCUGUAUUUUGGUUUCGGAACCUGGUAUAGGUCUGUUUCUAUAUUUAUGACUUGUCUGUCAAAUUUUGAGGAGAAAUGGAGUUAAUUUGACGUGAUUCAGAUGUCUGGUUGUUAAAAUAGCAAUUCUAAAGUUUUCAUGAAAAUUUCAUUUGAUUUGGUGUUUGAUUCAUAGUUCUAGGUGUUAUUUUGGAGAUUUUAUCGCCCGAGCAAGUUUGUAUGAUGUUUUUGGGAUUUUGUGUAUGUUUGGUUUGGAGCCUGAGUGCUCGGGUGAGUUUCAGAUAGGCUACGAAGUGGUUUGGACUUAGAAAAACAAAGUUGGUGUGCUUCAGUUCUGGUGCAGGCCUCAGACCUCGCAAUUGCAAGGUCAGGCCUCGCAUUUUACAACGCUGCAGAACUCCUGUCAGGUUCGCAAUUGUGAGCUAUUUCCUGGCAAAAUACGAAGACUAACUGGGCAUCACUGGUUCGCAUUUGCGACCAAAUUUAUCGCAAUUGCGAAGUGGGGCUGGGGGGACAGUCGCAUUUGCGAUCAAAUUUAACGGUCAUAUUUGCGGGAUGGCCAUUGUUCGCAAUUGUGAACAAAUCAUGACAAUUGUGAACAAAUCAUCGCAAUUGCGAUGAUAGCAGAAAUGCUGAGACUUCGUAUUCGCAAAGGUUUUCUCGCAUUUGCGAGGUUCGCAAUUGCAAACCCCAGGUCGCAAUUGCGGCAUCUGCAACUGGUCAAAAUCUGAGUUAGACAGGAUUUUCUCUCAUUCUUCAAAUUUUCAAACCUAGAGAACCCUAGAGGAGGUUUUCCCCAGAGCCCUUCUUCCCCCAUUCACUAAUAAGUGAUUCUAAUAUAUUUUCUUUCACUUCUCCAUUACAUUUCAUAAGAUUUCAACCUAAAAUCUAGGAUUUUUGUGGUAGAAAUUAGGAGUAUGGGUAGAAUUAGGUACUUUUAUAAAAUUAGAAUUUAGGCCUUAAAUAAAGGUCGGAUUUCGAAACAAAUUACAUAACCGGGCUCGGGAAUGAAUUUGUGAUCGGGUUUUGAUCUGAAUUUCGGAUUUGGACCAAGCGGGCCCGGGAGUGACUUUUUUUACUUUUCAAUAUUGACCUAAAUUGUAUCUUUUACAAUCGUGGGUAGUUCCUAAGGCUUAUUUUGAAUUGUUUGGUUGAUAAUUUGCUAUAUUUGGUUGGUUCGGAGGCUUGUUUGAAAGGCAAAGACGUGGUUGAGCUCUGAGUUGAUCUUUGGAGAGAGGUAAGUGUCGUGGUUAAGCUUGACUUGCAGGAUUAGGACUUGUUUGCCUAUUUGCUACCUGUAUAGAUGUUGGGUACAAUAUAUAUGUGAGGUGACGAGUACUUAUGCAUUUGUGUUGGGUUAAAGCAUGCGGGUGAGACUUGUUUCUUGUAAAUUAUUGCUUUCUUUGAUCAUGAUAUCCAUGCCUAGACUUGUUUAAUUACUAAAUUGAUCGUUCUUUAUGCAUUUAUGGACUGUCUAUGAUAAUUGAGUAUUGUUUUUCUGAAGUUGAGGUUGGUUUUGUGGAAUCAUUGUUGACGUAAAGCUUGUCCUGGUUUAUUUCAUCUCCCUAUUGUUAUAUGUUCAUUGUUAUAUGAUAAGGGAGAGUUUAAUGGACAAAAGGUGAUGUCAUGCCAUAUUUGAGAGUUAAUGCACGAAAGGUGAUGUCAUGCCAUAUUUGAGAGUUAAUGCACAAAGAGUGAUGUCGUGCCAUGUUUGAGAGUUAAUGCACGAAGGGUGAUACCGUGCCGUAUCUAUUGAUUUAUGAUUAAAGUGAGAGUAAAAACAUGAAGGGUGAUGCCAUGCUGUUAUUUAUGUUUCAUAGUGAGGUUGAGAGUAAAAGCACGAAGGGUAACGCCGUGUAGUAUUAUUCAUCAUGCGUAUUCGUUUUGCUGGUUAAAGGCUUAUUGACUCUUUCUUGUUAUUAUUCCUUGAUGAGUUUAUCUUAUCUUGUACCUCUUUCGCAUGUCCCCUCCAAACAAUAUCUGUUUAGCCUUUAUUUGUUAUUAUGUUGUAUGCAUACUGUUAUCUGCACAGGUUUAAUUUUGUGGGUGUCUUGUCAUAGCCUUGUCACUACCUCGUCGCUAUUAGGCUCGACACUUAUGGAGUACAUGUGGUUGGUUGUACUCAUACUACACUCGCACUUCUUGUGCAGAUUAUGGUACUGGACCCAGUUGCCCUGAGGUGCAUCAUCUCGGAUCAACUGACUUGGAGACUCGAGAUAGAUCUGCUGGCGUCCGCAGACCUUGAAGUCCCCUUCUAUUUCCCUUAUUUACUGCUCUUUUCAUUCGAGACAGUUGUACUUAUUUCAGACUAUGUUUGUAGAAAUUCUAGAAGCUCGUGAACUUGUGACUCCAGAUCCGGGUUGUAUUAGAUAUUGGUUUAUUACGUUAUUUUGUACUUUAUUUUGAACUUCAUUUCUGUUUGAUUGGUUCUACUAAUUUGAAUUGGUUAAAAUUGG
rnacentral:lncRNA from 1 species